GUCACUUCCUCCUGGGACAGCCUCCCAGGGACUGAAGGGGGAGCAGGGGGAGCUGUGACGUCAUCAAAGGGCAUGAGAGGGACUGCUGUUCUCUUCCAGGCUACUGCCAUUGGGAGGAAGAAAUGACAUGGAAUGGCACCAAGGCAAAGUAAAACCAUGAAGGAAAGGACAAGAAUCCACCGAGCAGCAUGGAGCCUUAAUGAAAUCUUGAAAAGCCUGCUCUUGCAAACACAGUCUGAGUUUCAGCAAGACCUAGUGGCAGCACUCUCUGAAGCCAUAAUACAUUUAAACUUAAAACUCACAUCCCUUGCAGAGAAAAUAGCAAGCCUUGAAACAUCAACAAACGAGUCCCUGGAGUGUAGCCGAGCUCAUGAAAGCAAAAUCAACAGUUUGGAAAAGCUCUCCAACACACUGGAAGGGAAAAUAUCAAGCUUAGGGAAUCACAGCCAGCACCUUCAAUGUCUGCCUUCGCCCACUGCUGGAAGAUGAAAAACAAAGGGGGCGUUCCCACUUGCGUUUUAAAAUGAAUUUAAAUACAGUGGUUCAUUUUAAAGUGAUUCAAAAUAAAGCGAGUGUUAUCCCGC